rnacentral:rRNA from 1 species
CCUACGGGAGGCAGCAGUGGGGAAUAUUGCACAAUGGGGGAAACCCUGAUGCCGCGACGCCGCGUGAGUGAAGAAGUAGUUCGGUACGUAAAGCUCUAUCAGCAGGGAAGAAAAUGACGGUACCUGACUAAGAAGCCCCGGCUAACUACGUGCCAGCAGCCGCGGUAAUACGUAGGGGGCAAGCGUUAUCCGGAUUUACUGGGUGUAAAGGGAGCGUAGACGGCAGCGCAAGUCUGGAGUGAAAUCCCAUGGCUUAACCAUGGAACUGCUUUGGAAACUGUGCAGCUAGAGUGCAGGAGAGGUAAGCGGAAUUCCUAGUGUAGCGGUGAAAUGCGUAGAUAUUAGGAGGAACACCAGUGGCGAAGGCGGCUUACUGGACUGUAACUGACGUUGAGGCUCGAAAGCGUGGGGAGCAAACAGGAUUAGAUACCCUAGUAGUC